GAUCACAUGGAGUACUUGCACCAUCUGGAAGACAGUGGAGCGAUCUUCUCAUUUGAGACCUACUUCUGAGUAAAUAUGCAUGGGAUUUGUCCUGUAAGGAAUUACUGUCUACAGAUAUUUAAUGCAUCACAGAACCAGAACAGAAGGAGGAGCAAUUCUGACCUGACUGUCUACUUAUCACAGGCCAGACAUCAGGACAGCUGACACGUGAAUGAGAAGAUGGUGGUUUACAUUAAUUUCCAGGAGGUCUCCCGUCCAUGCAUGGGCCAGAUCCAUAAUGACAAGGUGGUGGCCUUAUGGGACUUCAGACCACACCAAAGCCCCCCCUGCUUUUGUCAUGGCAGAAACACAUCAGGACACCUGGACUUGCUUUGGAACCUGAGCUGCUUGGUGCGGAUAAAACAGGCUGGGAAGGACAAUGGGGCAAGCGGAAAAGAAGGAACAACUGAUAAGUGCACUCUUCCGGUGCCCCACUUCUCUGCUUCAACUUGCACUCUCUUGCAUCACUUGCAAUAGAAAAGAUGUGUGGGCUAAGAUAAAUGAGCUUAAUUGUCUAACCUGAUAUUUUGUGUGUCCCUGCCGUUUGGAAGGGAAGAGGCACUGGUCUACAAAUGUGCUGAAAUAUAAAUGGAUUAAUGGAAGAGGCCAAAAGCUCAGCUACUCUGUAAAACAAGGGGGCCCUUUACUGGUCCUUGGCAGUACAUCCUCCCCAUCUAGAUUUAGGCUUGAAAGACCAAUUAAACGUGUGUGUGCAAGGGAAGGUUGGUUGCAAGCAUUGCACCAUUUGUGACAGUGCACAAUUUCUUGCUGAUCGCAAUCACUUAAGGUACCGGUCCUAUCUUCCCAUUUCUGAGAUUUGUGGAUCUUUAACUGGCUGGUUUGUUUUUUUAAAAAAAUGCUAAUUAAAUCUUAUACUGUGUAUGCAGUAGUCAGAGAUGUUUCUACAACUUGGCAUAGUGUACGACUCUGACACUGUUGAUAUGAGCUGGCAAUCAGCUAAUGGGCACAUGGGAAAUCAUAUCUGAUUUAUAAAAGGAAGGCCUCUAUGCAAUAAUUGAUGUGACAUGACACCAUCACCAAAGUUAUUCUUGGGAAAUAGUAACGGUUGAUUUUGAAUACUUUGACACUUCACAGAUACCUGUCAACUUUCUGUCUGAUGAGGGGCAUGUUUACUUGUCCUGAAUUGUUAUGAGAACAUGCAGUAUCUAGUAAAGCUGUAUUCCAAUGCUUUCGUUCUUGGGUUAAGAUGCCUGUUUGCUGUUGGCAAAAGUUAUGCAUGGGAUUAUAAAGGCCUAAAUGAAUAGAGAAUAUCCACAGCUAUUAGACAGAGUGUGCCCAGGGCAUCUAUCCUAAUAGCUGUAGUGUGCCCAGUGAAGCUUUGAGCUGGACUGAGGAAUCAAAGUAAGCUAUAUUGAAAUCAAAAUAUGAGGUCACCAGCUGCCCACCAGCAGAAGAUAAAUACAUCUUAUUGCACUGCCAAAUGCUGAAACAUCAUGGAAUCAGUGAAGUGUAAUAUUAUGCCUAGGUUUCUAAUGCAUUUCUUCAGUGUUUGGCACAAUAUGGCUAAGUGGCCGAUGUGCCAUGAAAUCUCUAAUGUACCUUCGUGUCUGAGAGGUGGCCAAAGACAAAGCAAUAGUAUUAUACAUCAUAGGCAUUGAUGUAUAAUACUUAAGUGCCUCUUCAAACUGGUGGUGGUGAUGGUUUGGUGGUUUGUGUUUCCUCCUCUAUAAAAGACCUUUUACUGCUCAAUGAAUUCAGAUUAUCAGUUUGACGCAGUAAUUGAAGUGACGUGACAGCAUCACCAGAGUUAUUCUUGGGACACAGUGACUGCUGAUUUUAAAUAUUCUGACACUUCACAGAUACCUGUCAUGUUUACAUCUUGCCCUGUUCUCUGUAAAGGGGACAUAACUCAGCAGUAAAGCAUGCAAGCAAUCUCAAGGUUAAUUAUUUCCUAGUAUCUCCAAUUAAAGGAUAUUGGGUAGCAGCGCUUUAUUAGACCUUUGCCUCAGAAUCUGGCCAGUUUCAUAUGGAGAUGACAACACUGAGCUUGAUAGACCAAUGGCCUGACUCAGUAUAAGAUAGAUUCAUAGCUUAAAAAAAAAAAAAAAAAAAAAGAGUGUAGGUGAAUUGUGUUUCUCACCUCCUUGAGUGGGUUUUCCAA